rnacentral:piRNA from 1 species
UGAUUAGCCUGUGGCUCAGAAAUGUCCUA